UGUCUCUAUUUGUCCCCCUAGAGCUUCAUGGCUCUUGGGCCUGGCUUUGGAAGGUGACUGGACUGUGAGGGUGUUAUAGCUGACUUUCUGUUAGGAGGCAGGGCUAGUUGGAAGAGACAACUGAGAGUGUGAUCCAGAGGGUCUUUCUUCCUCCCUACCUCAUUCCUUCCCUCUCCAAUUCCUGGCUGCUACGAGGUGUCGACCAUACCUUUCUGUAUUGGAGUGGGGCAACUUGUGCCAAAAUAAACUUCUCCUUUAAAUUGUGGGUGUCAGGUAUUUUGUCCUGGUGACUGGGUGUGAGAGAAAAUUCAAGCAUGGCUGAGCCAAGUGCGCCACAUGCACAUCUCCUACCAGAAUAGGGGAUACUCAGAAGUCUGAGCAUGCUCACUCUCAUGCAUUGCGACUGGUUUAGAGCUGGCUGAAGGACAUCCUGUUCCUCCUAUCCACUGUCUCCAUUGCUAGCCCAAAAGAUCAACCAAUCUUGUUAUGCCCUGUAUGCAGUGUCCCACCCCUUGUUCCUAGACUAUAUAAGAGCUUGCUCUGCCUAUCAAAAAUGGAAGCGUUGCAGAAACCUCGCUGGAGUCGGCUUGGUGGUUCUGCGCCUCACCCUCCCUAUCUGAGCUUCAGAACCAGAGCACAAACAGACAAACAACAAGUGUUGCCCAAAUUGGGGCUCCUGUAUAUCAGGAACAUACUGAAGCGUCGGGUGAGAACUCAGAUGCUCAGAGAAGGUAAAAAGUUUUUCUAAGUCUCCAAAACCAUGACUGUGACCUGAUGUUGUCUACUGUGAUUUCUACGUAGUCUGAUGAUCAACUUUACCCAUGCUGACCCCAAUACAGAACUCCUUGAAAUCAUUGGAAACAGAUUGACCUUACCUGUUUCUUGGAUUGUUGAUAAAAGAUAUGGAAUGAAACUUGCCCUCCAUUCCUGGAAGAUGCCUUUGCCACUGACUGUCACCAGAGGAAGAAGUGAAAGGGUACUCCUACCCCUCUUUCCCUCAAAACUUGAAAAGGUAAGAAUGAAGACUUCUACAGUGUUAAAUAUUUUGGCAUAACAAAUGUGGACAAAAGACGGAAAC
rnacentral:lncRNA from 1 species